CGUAGGGUGCGAGCGUUGUCCGGAAUUAUUGGGCGUAAAGAGCUCGUAGGCGGUUUGUCGCGUCGGUCGUGAAAACCUGCAGCUUAACUGUGGGCUUGCGGUCGAUACGGGCAUGACUGGAGUUCGGCAGGGGAGACUGGAAUUCCUGGUGUAGCGGUGAAAUGCGCAGAUAUCAGGAGGAACACCGGUGGCGAAGGCGGGUCUCUGGGCCGAUACUGACGCUGAGGAGCGAAAGCGUGGGGGAGCGAACAGGAUU
rnacentral:rRNA from 1 species